rnacentral:lncRNA from 1 species
UGUAAUUGGAGUAUUAAGUGAUUGAAUUAUAUGAGAAGUUAUUGGAAGAUUUAUUAUGGAUGGAUGAUUAUGAUUGUUGUUUAUUGAGAGUUGUAUAUAUGUAUUUCGACAGAAGAAGUCUGUCAUUAUAGGAAUUUCUGUGAAUUCAGAUUGGUUGGAGUAAAGUCUGUUAUUCUUGGUGUUGGAUGGAAUUUAUUGAGUUUUGAGUGGUCUUUUGAGAGUGCAAGGUUACACUUUAUGGUUAUCAAUUGAUGAAGGAGUAUUGUUACUAGGAAGAAGUAUUAUAGUAUUUCUUAGUGUUUUAGUGGUUCGAAAUACAGUUAAUUGUGUGACCUUAACAAGUGAA